rnacentral:rRNA from 1 species
GUGGGGAAUAUUGGACAAUGGGGGGAACCCUGAUCCAGCCAUGCCGCGUGUGUGAAGAAGGCCUUUUGGUUGUAAAGCACUUUAAGCGAGGAGGAGGCUACCGAGAUUAAUACUCUUGGAUAGUGGACGUUACUCGCAGAAUAAGCACCGGCUAACUCUGUGCCAGCAGCCGCGGUAAUACAGAGGGUGCAAGCGUUAAUCGGAUUUACUGGGCGUAAAGCGCGCGUAGGUGGCCAAUUAAGUCAAAUGUGAAAUCCCCGAGCUUAACUUGGGAAUUGCAUUCGAUACUGGUUGGCUAGAGUAUGGGAGAGGAUGGUAGAAGUCCAGGUGUAGCGGUGAAAUGCGUAGAGAUCUGGAGGAAUACCGAUGGCGAAGGCAGCCAUCUGGCCUAAUACUGACACUGAGGUGCGAAAGCAUGGGGAGCAAACAGGAUUAGAAACCCGAGUAGUCC